AGUGAACGCUGGCGGUAGGCCUAACACAUGCAAGUCGAACGGCAGCACAGUAAGAGCUUGCUCUUACGGGUGGCGAGUGGCGGACGGGUGAGGAAUACAUCGGAAUCUACUUUUUCGUGGGGGAUAACGUAGGGAAACUUACGCUAAUACCGCAUACGACCUACGGGUGAAAGCAGGGGAUCUUCGGACCUUGCGCGAUUGAAUGAGCCGAUGUCGGAUUAGCUAGUUGGCGGGGUAAAGGCCCACCAAGGCGACGAUCCGUAGCUGGUCUGAGAGGAUGAUCAGCCACACUGGAACGGAGACACGGUCCAGACGCCUACGGGAGGCAGCAGUGGGGAAUAUUGGACAAUGGUCGCAAGCCUGAUCCAGCCAUACCGCGUGGGUGAAGAAGGCCUUCGGGUUGUAAAGCCCUUUUGUUGGGAAAGAAAAGCAGCAGGUUAAUACCCCGCUGUUCUGACGGUAACCAAAGAAUAAGCACCGGCUAACUUCGUG
rnacentral:rRNA from 1 species